AGUGAACGCUGGCGGUAGGCCUAACACAUGCAAGUCGAACGGCAGCACAGUAAGAGCUUGCUCUUACGGGUGGCGAGUGGCGGGCGGGUGAGGAAUACAUCGGAAUCUACUUUUUCGUGGGGGAUAACGUAGGGAAACUUACGCUAAUACCGCAUACGACCUACGGGUGAAAGCAGGGGAUCUUCGGACCUUGCGCGAUUGAAUGAGCCGAUGUCGGAUUAGCUAGUUGGCGGGGUAAAGGCCCACCAAGGCGAAGAUCCGUAGCUGGUCUGAGAGGAUGAUCAGCCACACUGGAACUGAGACACGGUCCAGACUCCGACGGGAGGCAGCAGUGGGGAAUAUUGGACAAUGGGCGCAAGCCUGAUCCAGCCAUACCGCGUAGGUGAAGAAGGCCUUCGGGUUGUAAAGCCCUUUUGUUGGGAAAGAAAAGCAGCAGGUUAAUACCCCGCUGUUCUGGCGGUACCCAAAGAAUAAGCACCGGCUAACUUCGUG
rnacentral:rRNA from 1 species